UGUUUUGUAGCUUAGUUGGUUAAAGCGCCGGUCUAGCGUACACGAAGUCGUGAGUUCGAGUCUCACUGGAUCGC
rfam:Aedes aegypti strain Liverpool supercont1.162 genomic scaffold, whole genome shotgun sequence.